GACGUAGGGGGCGAGCGUUGUCCGGAUUUAUUGGGCGUAAAGCGUGCGCAGGCGGUUUGUUAAGUCUGAUGUGAAAGCCCCGGGCUCAACCUGGGAAUGGUAUUGGAAACUGGCAAGCUCGAGUUUGGCAGAGGGGGGUGGAAUUCCGCGUGUAGCAGUGAAAUGCGUAGAGAUGCGGAGGAACACCGAUGGCGAAGGCAGCCCCCUGGGCUAAGACUGACGCUCAGGCACGAAAGCGUGGGGAGCAAACAGG
rnacentral:rRNA from 1 species